CCUACGGGAGGCAGCAGUGAGGAAUAUUGGUCAAUGGACGCAAGUCUGAACCAGCCAUGCCGCGUGCAGGAAGACGGCUCUAUGAGUUGUAAACUGCUUUUGUACGAGGGUAAAUGCAGGUACGUGUAUCUGUUUGAAAGUAUCGUACGAAUAAGGAUCGGCUAACUCCGUGCCAGCAGCCGCGGUAAUACGGAGGAUCCAAGCGUUAUCCGGAUUUAUUGGGUUUAAAGGGUGCGUAGGCGGGACGGUAAGUCAGCGGUAAAAAUGCGGAGCUCAACUCCGUCGAGCCGUUGAAACUGCCGUUC
rnacentral:rRNA from 1 species